ACAUGUGGGUGUGGUAAGCAAGCUGCAUCAGGUGGAAGAGGAUUACAUUAAGAGAAGAAAGUAUUUGUCCCUGAUUUUAUAUAGCACGGAUAAAAAAAAAUAAAGAGUGUAGAAGGCAUUGCACUACGAAAUAGAAGAGGGAGUUUCCAGAGGAGGUUUCCAGUCUCACCUGGAAAAUGGGUCAGUGACAAUUGCAGUCCAAAGAAGAUAAGAAAAAGUUAAUCAGGGAUAAGAAAAAGUCCUGGAAUGGGAAAAGCACUCUUGAAGCUCACAGAAGAAUGGAGCAGAAGAGGAUGGAUAUGCAGCUGACAACAACCUCUAUAUGAAGAGAAACUUUGCAGCUGGUGUAGCAGAAGGGAUUUUGGCCAGCAGGAUCUGCAGCAGAGGCUGAGAUACCAUCUGGAAUGUCAAAAGCUUUUACCGUUCUGAGAAGUGUGUGCAGAGGUUUGUUUUCAAUUUGCUUCUACUUGGUGUCUUUACUUACUUAGGGCAAAAGUGCUACAGGUAAGUAACACGUUUUCUUAAAGACUUUUCUUACAGUCUUCAAUUGUCUUCAAUUUUAUUUUUACAUUUUGAAAUUUUGCAUAUCGUGCAAACACAAGGAAACACUGUAUGCCAGGCUACCUACUUCCAAGGGCAUUUCAUUGCCGCAAGGAAAGUUCUGCAAAACAAAGUGAUAAAUUUAAAUAUACAGUGGCUCAUUAUAUUAAAAAAAAGAGCAUUCUUAGAGAGAAUUUUGUAUUUUUACAAUGACAUUCUACUGCAUUAUAGUUGCAAAAUCAAUAGAUUAAAAAUAUGCAGAAAUUUUUUAAACUCUGACAUUUCAUAUCAAGCACAGUCCUACUUGCUUAAAUUGGGGCACAUAUGUUACUCAAAUAUGAUAUGUUCAGUGUAAAUCACUGGAAAUAUAGUGUGUCACUGAACAAUCAGCCUUUGGUAAUCUCACUCUAUAAUACCACACAAAGAUGUUAAUGUUGCCCCAAUUAGUUUUUUCUAUCUGUUAUCAUGUAAACAUCAUACACUCCCAAUUAUGUUGUUUCAGUUGCUGUUGGGAUGGAGCAAUAAGUGCUGAAGGUUUUGGAGCUAGCAGCUCUCUCUGCAAGCUGGCAUUCAACACAAAAACAACAUUUUAGCUUUCCUGAAAUAGUUGGCAGUGUGCUUAACCUGGGCAUAGAAAUACUUUGAAAGGUAUUUGCACACAACAUUGUGGUAGUAACUUAAUAUUCCAGAAGUAAAUCUUGUUUUGACUAGGUUUAAGACUAGUAUUAUACCACUUAUACAGUUUUCAAUUGAUCAUGUAUUACCAAAGGUAUGGGAUCAAGUUCAAGGUCUCAAAAUCGCAGUUGCUACUUGAUGCAUUUUAAAACUCUGAGCAGUGCUCUCUAAGCGAUGGCAUAUGUAAUGUUCAACUUUGCUAGUAUAGCUAAGGUAGACACUGACAAACUUGUUAUAGCCUUGCUUGUGGAGUGCAGUCCCCAUUAUAAUGAAGUUUUAGCUAAAUUUUCAGUGUGAUAGACUGAAACAAAGUUUAGGAGGCUUUUAUGGAGACACUGUUUAACAAAUGCCUGAUAGAUCAGUCUAUUCACAGAUGAGACUUAUAAAUGCUCAUUAAAUUAGAAAGGCAACAAUCACUUAGCUCGUAUAUAUUGUGAGAUACAUAUUUAAAAUUAAAGCAUUUAAUGACAUCUGAUUAUUAGAAUGAAAAAUAGUGUAUAAAGCUAUUCAAACUUGCUGCCUUCCUGUCUUAGCAACCACACCAUAGAUACCCAAAAAGCAGCUUGGGUCUGUCCUGGCUGCUUGGCUCAGCAUACAAGAAUAUGAGCAGUGCUGAAACUGCCCCCAGCUCUGCUUUGGAUCACGCUGCUCUGGGCUAUGCUGUAGAAUGUCUCCAGGUACCACAUGUACACAGCAGAGAGCACUUAGUGCACUUUGGGAAAUGUCAGGAAGUAUUUCUAAUUAUCAAUAUUUGAGCAAUGCUACCUGUUCAGGCCAGCCUGCUCAGAAUUUAGCACUGCUGAUAUUUUCUUUUGAUGAAGGACAUGAACAAAAUAACAUCUGGAGAUAUUUAACAAUUCCCUCCGCCUCUUAAUAAAUGAAUGUCUCAGUUGAUGAUUCACUGCCGCAAAUUUUCUAGUAACUGGCAACUUUCUGUUGCCAAUUAUUUAAAUAUCAAAAUAAUAUAUUUGCCUGAAGCAAUGAAAAAAAGAGAAGAAAAAAAGAAGAGCUGGCAGUUAUUUCUUACAUUAUAAAAAGCUUGAUUCAAACAGUUCAUCCAAUUAGCAAAACAGUAAAUUAGCCAAAAGAUACACUAUGCAAAGUGUUUAAUCCUGCUUUCUUUUACAUUGUGUUUUGCUUUCCAUUCCAAAAUAGCUACCAGCAAGAGAGAGAAGAAUCCAUUUCACAAAUCCUUCCAUCUGGCACAGCAUCCCUUGGAAGAGUAACUGUUUGAACACCAAAAGCUUUAAAGGGAGAGAGACUAUAUCUGUGAGAGGCAUGAAGGGCAGAAGAACUACCAGAUAUGGAGUUUACUGGUGAAGCACUGGAGCAGGUUGCCCAGAGAUGCUGUGGAUGCCCCAUCCCUGGAGGUGCUUGAGGUACUCAAAGACAGGACUGAAUGUGGUCCUGGGCAGACUGACCUAGGAGGUGGCAAACCUGUCCACAGCAGGGGAGUUGAACCUGAAUGAUCUUUAAGGUGCCUUCUAAAGAAGCCAUUCUAAAAUUUGAUGAUUUUUACUGGACUGAAAGAUGUCUUCUCUCAGGAGCAACCUCUGUACUAGCAGGAUCAGAGCUUUUUAGGUUUCACUCAUCCAAACACCACUCAUUCCAGCCCCCCUCUACUCAGUACCAGUAGCCCAGAGGCACAGCAGUUCAGCAGGAAUUUCUGAGUGGGGAUGAGACAGAAAAGAAAAUGAGUAUAAUUCAGAGUAAAUAACAGACGGUAACAGGUGGUUCCACUGCUGAAUGGAUCAAUGGAAAUGGUCUAUUUGCCUAUCAGAAGGACAAUGCUGCUGCCUUUCAAGGCGGGAGAGCCCAUGGGUGCAUGAAGCUCAUGUGUGCAUGAAGCCCAUGUAACCAGAAGACUUGGAUUGAUAUUUUGACAGAAAAAGAAUACCUCUUGCAGUUUCCUAAAGCCAGACUUCUUCACUAAGUAGGUCACCAUGACAGGAACAGGUCAAUAGAACAGUGCAGUUGCUGCUGAGGACCUUGCAGUCAUGCACUGCACAUUUUGGGGAUUAUAAUUCAGACCACUUCAAAUCUGAGCCCCACAUCAAGCACUCUGACUUCAGCAGUUCGGAGGAAAACUAUGUCACACAUCUUUGAUUUCCAGACAGCAAGUAUUUCACCCAGAUACUCAUGGAGGAACCACAUCAUCCUCUUGUCUGUCACGUACAAUAAUGCUAGGCAGUGUCAUGCAUUUCCCUUAUAGGCCUUGUAUUUGGAGUCAAAGCCUUAUUUUUGUUUCUCUUCCUACUUCUGCUCUGCAUCUUUCUGUCUCUGCUUGCUCAGAAGUGCUACCAUGAUGCUUUCAGGAGCCUCCUCUCAUAGUCUCUUCGCAAUACUGUUUUGUCAAUGACCAAUAUGGAAGGAAUUGCAGCGCUUCUUCUUCAGCUGUGGUUGUUACUCCAUGAGGAUACCUCUCCAGAUGAACUGACUUCAGGCUUCUUGGAGACACUUCAGUCUGGGGAGGGAGAAAUACAACUUCUAGCAGUCUCUACCAGCACUGCUGCUUUGUCUCUAGUUUAACACCAUCUGGAGGUGCCAGAAAUAUCUUUGGACAUGAGAUGGCAGAUAUGGUGUGCACAGAACUUUUGAGGCAGAGAGACACAGUCAAAGCCUUCUGCCAUGAGCUUGCUUCAUGACCUCACCAUACUACAAUAUACCAUUACGACUGACCCUCUGUGAUACACCACACUAGUUAUCUUGUUAUAAAACGAGAAUCUUGCAGUAAAAAUGACUAGAGAAUUCCUACAGGAAUAUGUGCUGCUUAUACUUUUCAGCAAACCUACACAUUUAGUUCAAUGCAGUUGGAGUUUUAUAAUCUUCACAAUUUUAAAGGAGAGGAUAGUCCCAUCAUUGCUUUAUUUCAUUUUUAUAAUCUUGCAAAAUGUUGUUACUAUUAAUAACAGAUUCUCUACUGCCUUCUAAAUUAACAGUUUUACUUUGCUUAUCUCAUUUUUGCAGCAUCAUCAACCUGUGUUCAAAAGCACAGGAAGUCUUCCUUUUGAAUAGAAUAUAUCAGCAUCACUGCAGAAUUUCAUUAACUGACACUGAAUUUUUUUUCCCUUAGCAUCUCAGAUAAUAAUUAGGUCUCCAGUGAACACUUUUUAACAUGCAUGCUCUGUGAAGUACGAUGAGCAGUCUGGCACAACCAUUUUCAUAAUUGAGUAGCUAUUAGGAAUUCAUUUACUUCAACAGAAACAUACAACUAGAGGAAAUCUCCAUGGUCCUCUAGUCCAAACUCUUGCUGCUGAAAGAACAGAUAUGACAAUACUCACUGCCAUUCACAAAUUGACAAAGCUUUUAAAAUAUUAAUUGAACUUCUUCCCUUUACUUUCCCAUUGGCAGAAUGCUUCAGAACAUCAAUCCUGUCAUUCUAAUAGUGAAAAUGAAACAACAGGUUGGUUUGUUACCUUCCAUCCUUGUCGUUCAGUACAGCACUGAAUUUAGAUAUUUUAAGUAGUUCCUUUUCAUCAGUUACUCACACAAUCCUUUUCAAAACUCAUUACUUUUGCUCUCAGGUUUUAUUUCUUCUUCACUUAAUGAAUGAAACUCCUCAAAAUAAUCUCAACCACAGCACAGCUUACUAGAGCUAUGCACAGACAAGCUUCUUGAAAUACUAAAGUACAAUUACUCCAGCAACACGGACCUUAACACUGACUAAACACACUGCUUCUCCCAGCCAUACACAAAGACAAACCCUUCACUCUCCUACGUUCCAAGCUCCUACCCAGACUAAUUUUAAUUUAGCUUUCUUCCACACAAUUAACCAAAAGCCACAUGGUUUACAUACAGUCAUACAUACUAGAAUAAAGUACCAAAAUCAAUUCUGAAAUACUACACAAUUAUUCUGCAUGCUACGGAAGAGAACACAUUUUCAAAUACAUGUUUUCUUUAAAGACUGUGACUGCAAUAUAUCAAAACUAUGCAAUAUAUCUAACUAAAAUAUUUAAAACAAACAAGGGAACCUUUAAAAACAUACUUCUCAGCCUAAAGAUUCAGCAAUAUAUUAGAACAUUUCCUCUAUUUCAAGCUCAAGAUGAAGAAUUCCCCACCACUUUUUCUUUCUUCCAAGUAUCAUCAUUUGUGUUCAGUCCUCCCACGUCUUUUAACAGAAGAUAAUAGAGGCCAAGAUCUAUAUCUUCAGAUCUGGCCAGACAUAGCAUUCCCCCACACAGAGCACAGCUUCAGUGGUCCUGUCAUCAAUCUCCAAGGCAGAGAAAGGAAUAUGAAUACUUUCUAAACCUAAUAGCUUGAUGAUACUUGAAAAGAGAUAAAUCACUCUACGAGUAUCUCAUAAAUAUCAUUCAUUUGCAUUGAAAGCAAUAAUAAUUCCAAUACUGUAUAUAAAAAGCUAAAUAGGAGGCUAUUUAUCUAUCACAGAUUAUGGUCAGAAUAAAAACAUAGAAUGAACAGUUAAAAACCUCUGAGAAGAACGAGAUUAGUAGAUAGGCAAAAUAAACUUAAAAGCUAUAAAACACUGUUGGAGAAAAAUGCAGAAUCACACUAAGAUCUUGUAAACUAAAGCUGAGAAUCUGCAUGCAUUUCACUCCUGCAGACACUUGCCCUAGGCUACUAUACUUCUCAGAGAGCGUCUGUGUAAAGAUUUACAAAUUAACUUCACUUAAGUUUCAAGAACUGUUACUUAUCAUUGCAUCUUGUUUUCAACGAGGACAGUCAAAAAACUUAAAUGCUUCAUCUGAAGACUCCAAAUAUUUGCUAACUUGACACUAGUGUUGAUUCCAGGGUGGAGAAAAGACGAAAAAUUAAGGACCCUGGUAGGCCAAUUUCAUGAUAAUUUUGAAGAGAAAACUAUUUUCUUUCUGACUUUUAAAACUCCUUUCUGCCACUUGAGUUUUUACUGGAGCUCUUUCUGUCUAUUUGGUCAUACUAAAAAUACUGCAUCCUAGUUUUUUCUCUACUGAAAGAUGCUGAUAAUCUCCAGCUAGUGGGAAAAAAAAUAGCGCAACUAGGACAUAAACCUACAUCACUGCUACUUCUAUUUAUUUAUUUAUUGGACAGUUACAGCAAAAAAGAGCAGUUUCCUAGUUGCUUACACUUCAGCCUUCAAUAUAUCCUAAUGAACAGACACCAUUAACAAUAAUUAAAUAUUAAAUCCACCCAGGAAAUAGCCACAGCUGAAAAGUGAGAAGCUUGAUGACUUCAACAAGUAGUCUGAACACACGGUGUUUCCUCGAUACUGUAUGCAUUUCUAGCUCUUGGAAGGCCCUGAGUGCGCCUGCAUGCACGAGCAUGCGUAGGAAUGUCGUGUUUCAAAAUAAACAUUAGAAACUUGGGUAAUAAAUAUGUAAUUAUCGUAUGGAUAAAAUCAGAUGCCUAAAAUUCUAUUGCCUCUGAGUAUAAUUACAGUAAUAAAAACAUCGCUGACUGAUGAAGAAAUGUACUAUUUAUGCUGCAGGGAUUGCAAAUCAACGCUUUUUUUUUUUUUUAUAUACCCAGCCACUUAAAAAAAUGCUGUCUUCAAUACAAGAUUUCACUGAUAUCUAAAACAAUUCAUCUCUUCUGGGUUUCUCCUCCCUGUGUUAUCUUUCUUCCAUGAUUUAUACUAUUGUCAUGAUAAUAAUUUCAUCAGUUCAACAUA